GCGCGGGUGGCGGAAUUGGCAUACGCGCAAGACUAAGGAUCUUGUGGGGAAACCCUUGCGAGUUCAACUCUCGCCCCGCGCA
rnacentral:tRNA from 1 species